UGGCGGACGGGUGAGUAAUGUCUGGGAAACUGCCUGAUGGAGGGGGGUAACUACUGGAAACGGUAGCUAAUACCGCAUAACGUCGCAAGACCAAAGAGGGGGACCUUCGGGCCUCUUGCCAUCGGAUGUGCCCAGAUGGGAUUAGCUAGUAGGUGGGGUAACGGCUCACCUAGGCGACGAUCCCUAGCUGGUCUGAGAGGAUGACCAGCCACAUUGGAACUGAGACACGGUCCAG
rnacentral:rRNA from 1 species